rnacentral:misc_RNA from 1 species
GAAUGAAGAACGUAGCGAAAUGCGAUAAGUAAUGUGAAUUGCAGAAUUCAGUGAAUCAUCGAAUCUUUGAACGCACAUUGCGCCCCUUGGUAUUCCGAGGGGCAUGCCUGUUCGAGCGUCAUUAUAACCCUCAAGCUCAGCUUGGUGUUGGGGCCUGCUGCACUGGCAGCCCUUAAAAUCAGUGGCGGCGCCAUCUGGCUCUAAGCGUAGUAAUUCUUCUCGCUAUGGAGUCCUGGUGGAUGCUUGCCAUCAACCCCCAAUUUUUCUAUGGUUGACCUCGGAUCAGGUAGGGAUACCCGCUGAACUUAAGCAUAUCAAUAAGCGGAGGA